UACGUAGGGUGCGAGCGUUAAUCGGAAUUACUGGGCGUAAAGCGUGCGCAGGCGGUUUUGUAAGCCAGAUGUGAAAUCCCCGGGCUUAACCUGGGAAUGGCAUUUGGGACUGCAAGGCUGGAGUGCGGCAGAGGAGACUGGAAUUCCUGGUGUAGCAGUGAAAUGCGUAGAUAAUCAGGAGGAAUACCGAUGGCGAAGGCAGGUCUCUGGGCUGACACUGACGCUCAUGCACGAAAGCGUGGGGAGCAACAGG
rnacentral:rRNA from 1 species